GUGCCAGCCGCCGCGGUAAUACAGAGGCCUCGAGCGUUAGGCGGAAUCACUGGGCUUAAAGCGUGUGUAGGCGGAUUGGUAAGUACCUUGUGAAAUCCCACAGCUUAACUGUGGAACUGCUCGGUAUACUGCUGAUCUUGAGCCACUCAGGGGCUACCGGAACAAAUGGUGGAGCGGUGAAAUGCGUAGAUAUCAUUUGGAACGCCAAUGGUGAAAACAGGUAGCUGGGGGUGUGCUGACGCUGAGACACGAAAGCCAGGGGAGCAAACGGGAUUAGAUACCCGGGUAGUCC
rnacentral:rRNA from 1 species